rnacentral:rRNA from 1 species
GUGGGGAAUUUUGGACAAUGGGCGAAAGCCUGAUCCAGCAAUGCCGCGUGUGUGAAGAAGGCCUUCGGGUUGUAAAGCACUUUUGGCAGGGAAGAAACAGUGCGUGCUAAUACCAUGCGCGAAUGACGGUACCUGCAGAAUAAGCACCGGCUAACUACGUGCCAGCAGCCGCGGUAAUACGUAGGGUGCAAGCGUUAAUCGGAAUUACUGGGCGUAAAGCGUGCGCAGGCGGCUUUGUAAGACGGAUGUGAAAGCCCCGGGCUCAACCUGGGAAGUGCAUUCGUGACUGCAAGGCUAGAGUGAGUCAGAGGGAGGUGGAAUUCCGCGUGUAGCAGUGAAAUGCGUAGAGAUGCGGAGGAACACCGAUGGCGAAGGCAGCCUCCUGGGAUAACACUGACGCUCAGGCACGAAAGCGUGGGGAGCAAACAGGAUUAGAAACCCGAGUAGUCC